CUUAAUGACAAGUCCAAAUGGUUCCACUUUAGUUGAGGCCGAGGAAAAAUAUUCAUGACACAAUUAUAAUGCUCUCAUGACAGCCAAUGUAA